rnacentral:rRNA from 1 species
CCUACGGUGGGCUGCAGUGGGGAAUAUUGGACAAUGGGCGCAAGCCUGAUCCAGCAAUGCCGCGUGUGUGAAGAAGGCCUGCGGGUUGUAAAGCACUUUAAGCAGGAAAGAAGGGGUGAAAGUUAAUACCUUUCAUCAUUGACGUUACCUGCAGAAUAAGCACCGGCUAACUCCGUGCCAGCAGCCGCGGUAAUACGGAGGGUGCGAGCGUUGAUCGGAGUUACUGGGGGUAGAUCGCUCGUAGCCGGUUGAAAGCCCUGGGCUUAACCUGGGAACUGCGGUGGAUACUGUCGGGCUAGAGUGUGGUAGAGGGGAGUGGAAGUUCCGGUGUAGCAGUGAAAUGCGUAGAGAUCGGAAGGAACACCAGUGGCGAAGGCGGCUCCCUGGACUAACACUGACGCUGAGGUGCGAAAGCGUGGGGAGCAAACAGGAUUAGAUACCCCAGUAGUC